AUGUGGGUAAAGCUGCUGUGUGUGCCGCCACAACAAAUCGUGCUUUUCAUCAGUGUUUUUAAAGAACCUUUCAGCACUUUGACCGUCUGUUUACCGUGGCUGCGGCAUAGCUGGUGGCAUGGGAGGAAUGAUGCUUUUUCAAGUGCUUGUUCCACUGCUAUUGGUUGCCACAGCAUCAUCUUCAGAAGAUAAAGUGUUUGUCCUGAAAGGAGGGUCCAUCGUGUUGCAGGCGGAGCAAGUGACUAGGGUUUCCUCUAUCAUCUGGAAACACAACAAGGAGAAAGCUGCAGAAUGUGGGAAAUAUUCAGCUGAGGUGAACAACAAGGACCCAACUCAGUUUGUGACCUUAACUGUACUUGGGCCAGUUUCAAAACCUACAAUCACCAUGGACUGCAUUGAUACCCUCUGCACCCUGACCUGCGAGGGACGGGAAGAUGGAUUCACAACAUACACCUGGGCUAAUGGCAUUGAAGAGUGGCCUGGAUCUGAACUGACUGUGGAGAAGAUAGACCAUGAUGUGGUCCACACCUGUAACUUCAGUAAUCCAGUGAGCUGGGCAUCCAGCAACGGGACAGUCAAACAUGUACCGCCUUCACCAGUUCCAGGACUUGGUCUAGCUAAUGGAGUAAGAAUUGGAGUAGUAAUUGCAGUGUUAAUUAUAGGUUCAUGUAUUCUACUUCAGCUGGUGUUAAAAAAGCAAGGAAACAAAAAUCAACCUGAAGCUAACCAAGAUCCAUCACAUGAUGUUGUGACAGAAGUGCAGAACAGUUGUUUGUAUGUCACGAGAGCAGAAGGAGCGUGAUGGAGGUGAGGAAAAUCAACAACUGCCAAACACUGUUAAUGUGGGGUUUUCGCUGUCUACAUGGCAAGUUAUUCAAGCAAAUGAAUGCCUAGGUGUUAAUUGGAAAUUUUACAGAAUAUAUUGCCAUUAACAGAAAACACUGUCAGGUGGCACUGUUUAAAGUCUAAAUCAAUGUUUGCAACUUUGGUAGCAUAAUAAUAGUAACAUUGACAACAAAAACAUAUUUGUAAAGGUUUUAAAACUGCAAGUGUAGUGUAUGAAUGAGCCAGUAGAUGGCCAAGUGAAUGUUCUCUGUUCAUUGUGUGAAGAGAUAUUUAGUUUUAUACAUACUGCAAAUGUUCUCUGUUCAUUGUGUGGAGAGAUAUUUCGUUUUAUACGUACUUUGUGAGAAGAGAUAUUUUUAUACAUACUUUGUGAGAGAUAUUUUGUUUUUAUACUUAUUUUGUGAAAAGAAAUAUUUCGUUUUAUACAUACUUUGUGAAAAUAGAUAUUUAGGUUUAUACUUUGCAAGUUUUUUUCUCAUGACUGGAGUGUUUGUACAUUUGAGGCGUAAAAUGAGUCCCACCAUUUACUGUAACAGUCAAGAAUAUUAAUUGUAUUGUAUAUUCUGAUGCACCUCUGUCUUGUGACGUUUGUGUGAGCUGAUGGGCAUUGUUUGCCUCCUGACCCCCCCUCACUCUCCCAUGCCCCUCUCCCUUCUCCUGGGCACAGGUCAUUCUGGGGUCACACCUGGCCACAUUUUAGGGGUGAAAUCUAUUUAGUGAGUAGAGGGCGUCAGCACAUUGGGGGUUGAUAUCAUUUUAAUGGCCUGUGUGAGUAGGCCUAUAAGGGUCACAGUUGUUGAACAAUAAGUUGGAUCUUUAAAAGGUCUCCAGAAACAUGCGGAAAUGUCCUUUAUAAGGUCUCCAUUCCAGUGACACUCCCACCUGGGGUCAAAACAUGUCCUACUCCUUGCCACUCGGAUAAGGAGAUGGCCCCAUUGGUCAAAGGUCCUUAGAUGUGUAAAUAGGUUAUUUAUGCAAAUUUCCAUUUGUCAUGUAAUUUAAGAAUGCAUUUUUUUUUGGUUGUGUAUUAUUACUAGAAGUAUUGAAUCUUUAUGCUUUUAUUUUUGACUUAGCUUAAUCAUUGCGUAAUCAUGUUAGAAAACAUCUUUGAAUUUGCAAUGCGUGAAUUGUGUGAAUGCCUGUAAGUGGCUCCUUUGUGAACUCAGAUACAGUAAAUCCUUGUAGUAAAUUCUAAGAGAGACAUAACAUUAUUAACUAUCACUCUGGUAAUAUCUAGCCACGACUGCAACAGCAGUGGUGAAUAAAUAACUGGAGUCAGAUUGGUCA
rnacentral:lncRNA from 1 species